rnacentral:tmRNA from 1 species
AACUAACUGCAAACGACGAACGUUUCGCACUCGCCGCUUAAUUGCCGGUGAGCUUUGCAACAGCAGGCCUAUGGGCUGGGCAAGGGUUCAGACGGCGCAAGCCGCGAGAGUCCAGGCUGCAAAGAUAAUUCAAUAGGCUGGCUGGGCGUCGGGUAACUUGGCGCACAGCAAGAUUCAAGGUUACUGGCGUCCUGUAUAGCGUGCCGCUGCGCGAUACAGGAAGCGAGACUCAAAUCAGACGGCUACACAUGUAGAACUGCGCGAAGAAGGCUUGCGGACGGGGGUUCAAUUCCCCCCAGCUCCACCA